GCGAACGGGUGAGUAACACGUGAGCAACCUGCCCUGGACUCUGGGAUAAGCGCUGGAAACGGUGUCUAAUACUGGAUAUGAGCUCUCAUCGCAUGGUGGGGGUUGGAAAGAUUUUUCUGUCUGGUAUGGGCUCGCGGCCUAUCAGCUUGUUGGUGAGGUAAUGGCUCACCAAAGCAUCGACGGGUAGCCGGCCUGACAGGGUGACCGGCCACACUGGGACUGACACACGGCCCAUACUCCUACAGGAGGCAGCAGUGGGGAAUAUUG
rnacentral:rRNA from 1 species